GGCAGGGGGCUGCUGCUGGGCCUUUGCUAUUGCUGCUGCUCUCUUGUCUGGGCCAGACACCACCACCCAUCCCCUUCUCUACUGCCUGGCUGCUGAAACCCCCCCACCCUCAGUUGCUGCUGUUGCUACAGCCCCUUGGGUGUGGGGGAGGCUGCUGACUGCUGGCCUGCUCCCCAGAGGAGGGGAGUGAGGGACCCCAGCCCAAGCCAUUGCUGCUGUGGACAUUACCACCAUCUGAGCGGGGUCCCUCCUGCCUGGUCACCAGACUAGCUGCUGUGUCUGCUAUUGGGGAGUUGCUGAAGCCCCGAGAAGAGGACCACCUGCUGCUGGGGGAGUGCACAGAGACUCUGAAGACCACUGUGGAGGCGGCGCUUCAGGACUGAGUAAUUUUUGAACUGUGCUCUUGUGGUGGGGGUCUGGACUGUGUUUGUGGGGACACCAGGGGUGUGGCAUGGAGCCUGCCCCCUGGUCCAUCCAUGUCCUCCUUCGCCCCCUCCACCACCCCCAUUGGCUGUUUACCAUCUGCCCCGACUCCUGCCUCUGGGACUGAGCUGCUUGCCUUGCUUUCCAUGCCCAUUUCCACCAUUUGGACCUGCAGCAACAGCCAGCAUCGGAGGCCGCCGCCCAUGAGGCAGUAGAGAAGGGUCUGGUGGUGGGAGGAGUGUUCGUCCCCCUGGAGCCGUUGAAAGACCUGGGCAUCCGUUGGAUGAUGCUAAGCAGUGGAGACAAGAUCUAAGACAAGACAAGCAGAAAAUCUAUGGGCGAGAAAUUUUUAGACUGAUCCUAACACCUUGCACACAGCAGUUCUAUAUGUGUUAUUACUAAUGAGUGAAUGUGAUAGUAAAGAAACUACAUGGCCAUUG